rnacentral:rRNA from 1 species
GACGAACGCUGGCGGCGUGCUUAACACAUGCAAGUCGAACGGUGAAGCUCCAGCUUGCUGGAGUGGAUCAGUGGCGAACGGGUGAGUAACACGUGAGCAACCUGCCCCUGACUCUGGAAUAAGCGCUGGAAACGGCGUCUAAUACUGGAUAUGAGAAGGGUCCGCAUGGACACUUUCUGGAAAGUUUUUCGGUUGGGGAUGGGCUCGCGGCCUAUCAGCUUGUUGGUGAGGUAAUGGCUCACCAAGGCGGCGACGGGUAGCCGGCCUGAGAGGGCGACCGGCCACACUGGGACUGAGACACGGCCCAGACUCCUACGGGAGGCAGCAGUGGGGAAUAUUGCACAAUGGGCGAAAGCCUGAUGCAGCGACGCCGCGUGAGGGAUGACGGCCUUCGGGUUGUAAACCUCUUUCAGCAGGGAAGAAGCGAAAGUGACGGUACCUGCAGAAGAAGCACCGGCUAACUACGUG